rnacentral:rRNA from 1 species
UACGUAGGGUGCGAGCGUUAAUCGGAAUUACUGGGCGUAAAGCGUGCGCAGGCGGUUAUGUAAGACAGGUGUGAAAUCCCAGGGCUUAACCUUGGAACUGCAUUUGUGACUGCAUAGCUAGAGUACGGUAGAGGGGGAUGGAAUUCCGCGUGUAGCAGUGAAAUGCGUAGAUAUGCGGAGGAACACCGAUGGCGAAGGCAAUCCCCUGGACCUGUACUGACGCUCAUGCACGAAAGGCGUGGGGAGCAAACAGGAUU